GUCGAGCGAAGUCUUCGGACUUAGCGGCGGACGGGUUAGUAACGCGUGGGAACGUACCUUUUGCUUCGGAAUAGCCUCGGGAAACUGGGAGUAAUACCGAAUGUGCCCUUAGGGGGAAAGAUUUAUCGGCAAAAGAUCGGCCCGCGUCUGAUUAGAUAGUUGGUGGGGUAAUGGCCUACCAAGUCUGCGAUCAGUAGCUGGUUUGAGAGGAUGAUCAGCAACACUGGGACUGAGACACGGCCCAGACUCC
rnacentral:rRNA from 1 species